CCUACGGGUGGCUGCAGUGGGGAAUAUUGGGCAAUGGGCGCAAGCCUGACCCAGCAACGCCGCGUGAAGGAAGAAGGCUUUCGGGUUGUAAACUUCUUUUCUGAGGGACGAAGAAAGUGACGGUACAUCAGGAAUAAGCCACGGCUAACUACGUGCCAGCAGCCGCGGUAAUACGUAGGAGGCAAGCGUUAUCCGGAUUUAUUGGGUGUAAAGGGCGUGUAGGCGGGAAAGCAAGUCAGAUGUGAAAACUCAGGGCUCAACCCUGAGCCUGCAUUUGAAACUGUUUUUCUUGAGUGCUGGAGAGGCAAUCGGAAUUCCGGGUGUAGCGGUGAAAUGCGUAGAUAUACGGAGGAACACCAGUGGCGAAGGCGGAUAGCUGGACAGUAACUGACGCUGAGGAGCGAAAGCGUGGGGAGCAAACAGGAUUAGAUACCCUUGUAGUC
rnacentral:rRNA from 1 species